GACACAAUUCGCCUUCAAACUCCACGACAAGGACCCUGAGAAGGCAGCUGGCACCUAUGAGCAAAUGAAGGUGGGGCCUCCCUCUGAGCCUGGUGAAGCCACUGACUCCCUAAAUGAAGGCAGAGGGAAGCUCGGCCUUCAGACUCCACCCUUCCAGCCUUUGUGGCGCCUCCUGGAGGGUUGGGGUGGAUGUGUGGAUGCCACAGAGGAGCUCAGUGGUGGGAGGGAAUUUGAGUCCAUUCUGUCCUUGUCUCAACCCAUUCCCCUGGUGCUCUCAGUGUCUCAAACCCGAGGAUGUGGCCGAGGCUGUUAUCUACGUCCUCAGCACCCCCGCACACAUCCAGAUUGGAGACAUCCAGAUGAGGCCCACGGAGCAGGUGACCUAGUGACUGUGGGAGCUCCUCCUUCCCUCCCCACCCUUCAUGGCUUGCCUCCUGCCUCUGGAUUUUAGGUGUUGAUUUCUGGAUCACUGGAUACCACUUCCUGUCCACACCCCGACCAGGGCCUAGAAAAUUUGUUUGAGAUUUUUAUAUCAUCUUGUCAAAUUGCUUCGGUUGUAAAUGUGAAAAAUGGGCUGGGGAAAGGAGGUGGUGUCCCUCAUUGUUUUACUUGUUAACUUGUUCUUGUGCCGCUGGGCACCUUGGCCUUUGUCUGCUCUCAGGUCUCUUCCCUUUGACAUGGGAAAGGAAUUGUGGCCAAAAUCCCCCGCAUCUUCUUGCACCUCAACGUCUGUGGCUCAGGGCUGGGGUGGCAGAGGGAGGCCCUCACCUUAUAUCUGUGUGGUUAUCCAGGGCUCCAGACUUCCUCCUCUGCCUGCCCCACUGCACCCUCUCCCCCUUAUCUUUCUCCUUCUCGGCUCCCCAGCCCAAUCUUGGCUUCUUGUCCCCUCGUGGGGUCAUCCCUCCACUCUGACUAUGGCAGCAGAACACCAGGGCCUGGCCCAGUGGAUUUCAUGGUGAUCAUUAAAAAAGAAAA
rnacentral:sRNA from 1 species